rnacentral:sRNA from 1 species
GUGGUGAGUUCUUUAACCAGCUAUCCCACUAGCCUUCCACUGUGUGUCCAUCACCGCUCCCAUUGCCCAUGGACAGACUCCAUUCCUCAGCCUUCUGACAUAUUUACACAGCAGUGGUUCUCCAGGGAGCUUCCAAGUCCUGAGAGUUGGACUGGGGCUGCCUCACUGCUCUCUCUUGUUCUAAGGCUUCCAGCAUCAGACACUGUGAAGGUACUUGGUGCUGACACCCACUGAUGGACUACCCAGCCUCCAGUUGUGUAAUUCGGCCUAAUAAAUUCCCCUUUACAUAAGUAACAGCCGGCUACUGAUGCUGUUUCUCUAAAGAAUCCUGGCUAACACACCGUCCCAACAGAUCACUAGUUGCAAAGACUGAACACAAGGUAGAAACAUAGAGUUAGCAAAGACCUGGAGCCAUAGCCACGCGGCCUUGCUACUUCUUUAUCCUAGCCACAGAGCUACAGGGAAGGCAGACAAAAAAGGAACCCUCUGGGUGCACUGUUUUGAUUCUGAACGGAGGCUGUGCCUUGUGGCUGCUCCCUGGUGGACAGCCAAACUCUGCCAGCCCCAGCUGAGAUACCACUUACCAGCUGGGGAUCUUCAGGGGCAGGGCCUGUGCAACAUGUUUACAAGCUGUGUGGCUAUUAGCAACAUCUUAUAGCUCCAGCUAAUUAACCGGAGAGUGGCUGAUGAAGCCCGGCUCUAAAGAGGGCCAAAUUGCAUCAGUGUUUGGGCUUAAAUUGAUACCAAAAAAAUAGCUCGCUCCAGGUGUGUUCCCCAGGCAGGUGGCUUGUUUGCUGAGCUUCACUUCCAGUAGGUCCCAAAGUGGCCAGGGUGUCAGGGUUAUGAGUUGAUUAAGGUCAUUUAAAUCGGCUAAGCGCUAAGUGUAGCUGGCGUUUCAGCCCACUGGUAAAGACUGUGUGUGUGCACCAACCUGGCAGAAUCUACCCCAGAAGCAUCCUGGACACUAGGUUACUACAAAGUGAAACGGGUAGAGACUCAUAAUAUAUUCCCAGCUUCCUCUCCAAGACACAUAUUUUCCUUUAAAACGCCCACAUUAUUCAAGCUGGGGGUAAAAGCUCCUCUUAUUUGAUCACGACAUCUCUUCAUGCUGGCAUUUCUAACUCAGUGUGAGUUGAGUUUCUUAAAAUUGUAUUUCUUUAAAAACACCCGUGAAUACUGUAGUAGUUGAAACUAGAAAUGGUCCCCCAUUGUCUUGAGCAUUUGACAAUUGAUCUUCCCCUAGUCGGUUGUGCUGUUUCGGGAGGUUCAGGUGACACAACCUUGCUGGAGGAAGUUACGUCACUGGGGGCGGGCUCUGAGAGUAAACAGUCUCCGCCACUUCCGGUUCAUUCUCCCUGCCCUGUGCGUAACCAUUCGAGACCUGAACUCUCAGCAUCCAGUUCCUGAGGCCAUGCUUGCUGUUUGCUGCCACUUCUUCCCACCAUAGGACUCUCGUAGGUACACUUUAUGAAGGACAAAAUAACCUGAAACUGAAUGAUCCUAGCAGAGGCAAGCCAAUGAGUCAGGGUAAAGUCGGUGUCCCCCAGCGAUUAGAGCAAUGGCAGCGUGUCGGUUGUCAGAUGUUCCGGCUCGAUGAAGGAUCAGGGGGAUUUGGGGUCAUUCUCAGCACCAUCCAGAAGAUCCCAGUAUCCACCGGGAAGCCCAUCAGAUACCAAGAUCAGUUCCUGGGAAGAUAAGUUCCCAGGGAGGCAACAUGCCAAUACUAGUGGUUACUAUUGGGCAAUUGGUAAGAUAUCAAUUGCGGUGACUUUCACCUUUUAAGAACUAUCUUUUUAAACCGUUAAAAAGCAGAUCCUGCCCUGCUUUCUAACAACAAUGACUACAACAACAACUUUGGUUUCAGGUCGCCCUUGGGCUAUUGGUUCUAUCCCACUUUGAGUAGUGAUAGAAGAAGACUUUGAAUCUGUCACUUCUUCCCCCGGGGCUGGUGAUAACUGGGUGACCAGAAGUCACAAAGGAAGAUGGAAAGCGCCCAAUGGCAGUCUCCAGCUCCUGCACUGAGAGGUUGCUGGACCUGUCUUACUUGGGGGACACUUUGAGAGAGGAGGGAGUGGGGGCACAGACCAGAUAUGUUAACUAGGAGACACUGAGGCCACUGGUCCACACAAGGAGCACAUUCGAGACAGCCAAGUGCUAGACAAACCUGACAGCAGCCAAUAACAGCAGCUGACACUUCUUAACUAGAAACAACCACUGUGCUGCCGAAACUGUACCUGUGUUUUAUACGGUCAUCUGUUUAAUCUCUUCCUUAGAAUUCAUGAAGGGAGAAGACAGCCUUGUACAAAGUAAGUAAUGAGGGAAGUCAUGCGGCCUGUAAGAAGUAGUUAAACUUCAAACCCAUGUCCUUUCGACUGUUUUGAUGACUUUGUAAAUGCCGACUUGGGUGACAUAGAAUCUACUGAGGAGAGAGGGAUUGCCUAGAUUAGGUUGGACUCUGGGCAGGUCCUGGGGAUUGUCUUGUUUGUUAACUGGUGUUGACAGACACAGCCCACUGUGGGCGGCACUUAUCCCUUAGGCAGGGAGUCCUGAACUACAUGGGACAGGAGAAAGCUAGAGAAAGCAAGCGGGCAGCACAAGGACAUUUGCUCUCUCUGACAUUAACUUUGUAUGUGUGGAUAGCUGUUUUAAAUCCCUGUCUUGAUUUCUCCUCAGUAAAGAAAGGCAGCCUGGAACUGAAAACAGAAAUGAACCCCUUCCCUCCCCCAAGGUACAUUUGGUCAGGAUAAUUCAUCACAGCAAUGGGCAUGAAACUAUAAGAGCUGCUUGAUUCUUUGCUCCUGCUGCUUUUUUAAAAAGUUUUAUACUAGUGCAUAUUUAUUCCACAUGACAAGAGGAUUCAUGAUGACAUUCCGUGCAUGUAUGUUGCAUCAUCCUGGUUGUUUUCAGCAUCACACCAAGUCCUUUCAAACAGCGGAACAGAUCUCUGGCCCUGUCUCAAUGAAUGGGGACUUCGGGACACUUCUUGGGCCAAAUUACCACUCAUCCCAUGGACUCUAGCUCCCUGUUUCUAUAGCCUUUUCUCUAGAAGAAGAUCUCAGCCAUACUGGGAUGCUGAUGAUAAUUGAAAUUCAGAAGAAGUCAUGAAUCAAAGCAACAUGUAGCCAUUGCCUUGAGCUGGUAUAAUCUAAACCCAAACCCUGUCUGGUCAUAUCUCAGCCCCCUUGACCCUUCGUGCUACAGGUGAUCUGAAUGAAACUCUCCUGUCUUCCCAGAAGGAUAACAGCGAAGGGUAAAACAAUUGAACACUUUCUAGAGGCUUCUGGCCUUAGAGCUUCCUGGAAGUCCCAGUGAAGGUAGAAUGGUUUUCGUAACUGUUGCAGUUGGUCUGCUUGCUGUCUUACCCUCAGGCCAUGGUUACAUGUAGUUUUCCUGUGGUAGUUUGUAAUUGGCACCCGUAGGCCCAUAGGGAAUGAUACUAUUAGGAGGUGUGGCCUUGUUGGAGUGGGUGUGGCUUUGUUGGGUGGGUGUGGCCUCGUUGGAGAGUAAGUGUGUCACUGUAGAGGUCGGCUUUGGGGUCUUACAUAUGCUCAAGCCAUAGCCAGUGGAGCAGUCUCCUGCUGCCUUCGGAUCAUGGCGUAGAACUCUCAGCUCCUCCUGCAUCAUGUUUGCCUGCAUGCCACCAUGCUUCCCACAGUGACGAUAAUGGACUGAGUUUCUAACAUUGUAAGCCAGCCCCAAUUACAUGUCCUUUAUAAGA